rnacentral:lncRNA from 1 species
AGAUUUCCUGGUGAACCUGCCUCUGUCUGAGUCAGUGUCAAUCCACCAUCUUCUGCCAGUGAACUUGUCUUUGGGUUUUUGUUUGGUGUGUGUGUGGGGGGGGAUGUUGUUGUGUGUGUGUGUAUGUGUGUGUGUGCUUUUUUUGGAAGGGGGGAGGGGAAAGACAAAGUGGGGGCCGGAGGUGGGGGGAAGAGUAGGGAGAAUGUGUGUCUGUGAGUGUGUGUUGAGUGUGAGUGUGUCUCUGUGUGUGUAGGGGUCGAGGUGGGGGGGGUCCGUGUUUGCGAUCUGAACCUUUGGUACCUACAAGGAGGGUGUCUCACCGAACGGUAGCUAAAACCUCACCAGAACCGCGCGGAAGUGAGAAGUCGCGGCCAAAGGCGCCCGCAGAAGCCUCCUCUCUGGGCCGGACCCCAGCCCGAGCGGCCGAAAGGAGCCCCCCGCCCGGAUCACAGAAGUUUACAAGGAAAGGGGAAAUGUCUGAAAUGGAGAUUGCACAAUCCUGUCUUGAAGCAGAAGACUCAGCUAGAGCACAUCUGGAAACACCUGGCACUCCUCAAUAGAAUUCAAAUGCUAUUUUAAAAGAGUCCAUUUCUAAGAAGAUGUGGUUCGAACAUACAGAGCUACAUAAUAUGAGUAAAAUAGGACCUAACAGUAGUGUUCUCCAGCAUUGCUCUGCCUUUCCUUUUCUGGAUGUAACAACAUUACUAAGAAAGGAAGAAAAAGCAAAAAUCUGCUCUCGGGGAGAUUCCAGAAUGUUGGAAAGCCCCAAAUGGAAGUCUCUGCUUUGGUUACAGGACAUAAGGUUUAAUAAAUAAAAAGAUGCUCAUCUGGGAUGCUGCACCAAUUAUCAUGUACUAAAUAAGGUUACCUACUUCACUCUCCAGGUAGAAAUGUCUAUCAUAAGCAUGUGCCACAGAAGGUCUCUCAAGUAUCAUUAUUGGCUGUGUUGAAUUUUGUUUUUAGUUCUCUUUUAUAAGGUCUGUAGUCUUACUUUCAGUGAGGAAGUGUUUUCUCAGGUUCUCAAGAAAGUAACAAAAUGCCAGCAUUGUCAAGGUCACCAUUGCCACUGAAUUAUCUUACUGUCUGAUUAUUCCAUCUUCCUCUGCAUCAUAUUAGCCUGAUGACUACAUUCUAAUUAUUUAAAGCGUUAUGUAAAUCAAAGCAGUAAAUGUAAUUUCUAGUCUUACUAGAUAUCAUGUACAUUAGGUCGAAUAACUCUAGAAAUGUCGUCAUAAUCAUGUCAUGCCUAAUGAUGACCUACUCAGCCCCUGCCAACAUCAUUCAAUUACUCAUUUCAGUAUUGAUUUUUCUCAUGCCUCUCUUCGUGGCAUUUAAACAGCCCUCACAUCUCCCCUUUUACUGAGGUGUAAUGUUGUAUAAUGACAGAGAUGCUUUGCUUCCCAGAUUCAUAAUGUUACACUCUGUUUCAAAUCCUUUUGGAGACAAAUUGGGGAAUCAAUAUAUAAAUAAUGACACACUUAUUUUUAAUUAAAAUCACUGCUUUCACAGAAAUGGUAUAUUAAAAUUAUUUUUGCUAAAAAAAUUUUAAAUACCUAUGUACGAUAAAAAGACUGCCAAUCCUUGGGAUCAAGAAUAUAAUUUGCCCCAAAUAACUUUUCUGUAAAAGUAGAAUUCUUAAUGGAAAAUAGAUUAAUACAUAUAAUUUCAAGAUCUAACCUUAAAAAUGGAAAUAAUGUGUCCAUUUUUAAAAAUAAAUCAUAUUUACAUACACUGUGUUUAUGAGAGUUGUUUUGGAAUGAAACUUCUUUGCAUUUGAGAUCAAAUUCUUUUAUUCACAAGAAUUACAUUAUCUUUUUCAGCUGAAUGUUAUGUUAUACUCUUCCAAAAUCUAUUUUCCCUGCACUCAAGUAGCGGUAAAUAUUCUUUUUUUUUUCUGGAAAUUGAUAGUCUAAUUUUCUCCUGCCUCUCUUUGGCACACCCUCAUUUUGCAUGAGAUAUGCUCCUUAAUAAAAUUUCUACUCAAUAUUACAGAAACUUCCAGAAAUGGCAUCUAAAAUAUUACACUGGCCCGUUUAACUUCACCUUCACUAAUUGCAAUACAUUAUACAAAGAGCACUGUGGACAAAGGUGGAAUAUUUAACUAACUGGAUUUGGUUUCACAAACAGUAAUAAGACUUUUAAAAACAUUAUUAGAGCAUUUAUUUCAUCUCCUUUGCAAUAUAUUUUUCUUCCUUUUAAACUAGGCUUUCUAAAUUCUCAU